rnacentral:lncRNA from 1 species
CAUGCAGAUAAUUCAGUGGAUAGAAUAUUUAAUCUGGAAACAGGAAAACCUGAGUUAUGAUCUAGCCUGAGAGAUUAGCUGUAUGAUUUUGUACAAGUCAAAAAAACCAUUUGUUUGUUUCAUAAACUGUAAAUAGAGAUAAUAGUAACACUGUGAAUUUUAGAUUUACUCCACUUUGCUUAGUCUAACAAAUAGGAAUGUCUAUACCCCUACUUAAGGAUUAAGUGUUGAGAAGGAUAGCCUAAGAUGGACAUGUGCUAGAAAAUGACAAAGCAGAAGCAACUGAGAGACCGCUGGGCCGUCUUAAGUCAAGUUCAAGCUACCAUUGGUACAUGUGAGACACAGGAAGUGAUGUAAAAUAUGGUCUAUAUAUUUCGCGUCACUUCCUCUCUCUCCACUUUUUCUCACAGAGGUGGCUCUGGCUCUCUUUGGCGGUGGAGGAACCUUGGCAUGCCUGCAGCUUUUGUCAGGGUCUUGUGAUGAGCAUCCUUGAUGAGGGUGUUGAUCUCUCUAUGCAAGCUAGUCAAAUUCCAACCCAAGUUGCUGAGUUCUAAUGACCCAACAGCUGCUGCUUAGAGAUGGAAAACAUAUGGCAUGGGGAACUUUCUUCAAAGUCUUCCUGGAGCUGGAGAAGCAAAGUGGCAUCUCUACCCACCUGCUUUGGUUUGCAGGACUUAGCCUGGAGGUACUUGCCAAGCACCUGCCUGCUGCAUCUUUUCAGUAAGGAGUUUUUCCUGCAAGGAAGGCAUCAGAACAAAGGGAAAGCAAGCUAUUUAAUGACAUGAUUUGGGAUGGAAGACUGCAGAAACAGCCUCUGGUCUGGAAUUCCUAGAGUUCGAUCAUCUUGGAGGUCUCUUUUAGGUCUGAAGUUUUGUGAUUAAAAACCAAAUUGGAGGUAGUCCUCCAGGAGCCAUAUUAUGAUCUUCUGUGCCUUGCUGAUGAAUUAUUCAUAUCGCCAUGUGCGUGAAACCAAUUUGUGGAUUUUUAGAUUUACUAAAUAAUUUGUACAGCUUAGAAUCUGGAUGCUUUGAAUUUGCUCAAAGCAAUAGGGCAUUCCACUAGGGACAUGGGAUAUAAGACUAGCUUCCUAAGUUCCUGGAACCUCAGCCAUGCUCUUCAUUGGUUGUCUAAAUUUCCAUAAUUGAUCUGGCAUUCACCCAAACAUCU